rnacentral:lncRNA from 1 species
AGGGCGUGUUUGAUAGGGGAAAUUGGGCAAGAUAAGUUAUAUUUCUAGCCCAAUCCAAUUGUUUGAUACCAGCAACUAAUAAUAAGCUAAGCCUGCAAUUAUGACCAAGCCCGCAGUUAUUUCACUGUUCCAAUUAGACAAUUGAUCCACCGCCCCCCACUAGAUCAACAAUCUCGUCUCCUACAGUGUUAUAGAUUAUAAUUCAGGUUCUCGAAAUUGUCCCUCAAUUCAUUUCAAUUUCAAUACCAUUUUCAAAUCCCUCCCAAUCUGGUUUGUGAAAAGCGCAAGGAAGAGAGUGCAGGUGUCUGAGUUCUUCACCAUUUGCGCCCAAUUUCAGUACCAUUUUCUCGCCUGCACAGAGACUUCUAGCUUCUGAGUUUUUCACCAAUCUGGUUUUAUGUAUUCAAGCAUAUCUGGGAAAUUGGGGUGCUAGACGUUGAGGAACGACGCUGUUGUUGGGGAGGGACGUCGGCGCCGUGGUUGGGGAGGCAGGGGGCGGCGCGCAAGGGGUGGGUGGGUAAGGUUGCUAUCGCGCACGUAGAAAUCGAGCCUAAACUCUGGAUCUUUGCUGGGGAAGGAUGGGCGACGACGGGGAGGGACGCCGGCGCUCGGGGAGGCUGGAGACAAUGGGCGCGGGGAAGAAGGAGAUUAGAAUUGCUGGAGAUAGGAACUGCCGAAUUCUAAUAGAUUUUUCCUUUUUUUAGGGGAUCUUUUUUUUAUAAUUUCAAUUUAACAAUUAAUUUAAUAUAAGGUUAAAAUAGUAAUUUUUUACCUUUGAUUAUUUAAUCUAAAUUUUAAUCUUGAUCUAUCAAACAACUAAUUCAUGUUAUCUGGAUUUUAAUCUUGAUCUAUCAAACACUAAAAUACAUUAUUAUUAUCACCCAAUCCAUAUUAUUUUAACUAAGUUUUAUUUAUCACUCUUUAUCUCAACUAGCUAUCAAACUGGCCCGAAGAGAAUAGAGAAUACAUCACAUGCGUUUGCGUUUAUUUUGGAUGAAUCUAAUGGCGCAAAUAGUUGUGAAUUUAUAUAU